rnacentral:piRNA from 1 species
UCCCUGCCAAAGAGCCACCUGGAGCCAAG